rnacentral:misc_RNA from 1 species
UAUUCUCAAACCUUGAUAGCUUUGCGGCUACUCGAGGCUUUGGAUGUGAGGGCUUGCUGGCUUCCUUAAGUGGCGGUCUGCUCCCUUUAAAUGCAUUAGUGGGAUCCUUUGUGGAUCGGUCACUUGGUGUGAUAAUUAUCUACGCCGCUUGGCUGUGAAGCAAGACUUGUGGGAACCUGCUCAUAACCGUCGAAAGACAACCAUUGACA